CCUACGGGCGGCAGCAGUGAGGAAUAUUGGUCAAUGGGCGCGAGCCUGAACCAGCCAAGUAGCGUGAAGGAUGACUGCCCUACGGGUUGUAAACUUCUUUUAUAAAGGAAUAAAGUGAGGCACGUGUGCCUUUUUGUAUGUACUUUAUGAAUAAGGAUCGGCUAACUCCGUGCCAGCAGCCGCGGUAAUACGGAGGAUCCGAGCGUUAUCCGGAUUUAUUGGGUUUAAAGGGAGCGUAGAUGGGUUGUUAAGUCAGUUGUGAAAGUUUGCGGCUCAACCGUAAAAUUGCAAUUGAUACUGGCAGCCUUGAGUACAGUUGAGGUAGGCGGAAUGCGUGGUGUAGCGGUGAAAUGCGUAGAUAUUACGAAGAACACCGAUUGCGAAGGCAGCCUGCUAAACAUUAACUGACGCUGAGGCGCGAAAGCGUGGGGAUCAAACAGGAUUAGAUACCCCUGUAGUC
rnacentral:rRNA from 1 species